rnacentral:rRNA from 1 species
CUGAUCCAAGGGCCACGCCUGUCUGAGGGUCG